rnacentral:rRNA from 1 species
UCGGGAAUUUUGGGCAAUGGGCGAAAGCCUGACCCAGCAACGCCGCGUGAGGGAUGAAGUAUUUCGGUAUGUAAACCUCGAAAGAAUGGGAAGAAUAAAUGACGGUACCAUUUAUAAGCUCCGGCUAACUACGUGCCAGCAGCCGCGGUAAUAAGUAGGGAGCAAGCGUUGUUCGGAUUUACUGGGCGUAAAGGGCGCGUAGGCGGCGCGGUAAGUCACUUGUGAAAUCUCUGAGCUUAACUCAGAACGGCCAAGUGAUACUGCUGUGCUAGAGUGCGGAAGAGGCAACCGGAAUUCUUGGUGUAGCGGUGAAAUGCGUAGAUAUCAAGAGGAACACCUGAGGCGAAGGCGGGUUGCUGGGCCGACACUGACGCUGAUGCGCGAAAGCCAGGGGAGCAAACG